CGGCAGUGACGCUGAGCCGGCUGCAAUGGAAUGGCCGCGAGCACAGAGCGGCAGGCAGGCAGGCAGGCAGGGUCUUUCGGAGCCAGUCUGCGCCGCGACUAGGCGGGGGGUGCGGUGCGCAAAUGGAGGACGCACGCGUCUCCGCUGCGCCCGGGGGCGUACGCAAAUUGCGUACGCGUGUCCGCCGCGCCUAGGUGCCGUUUUGCGCAGAGAGAGCGGCCGCGGCAGACACACUCAAGAUGUCGACCGCGGGGAGCCACACUCAAGAUGGCAGCCGUGCCAAAGCGGCCUUCCCAUUGGCUGGCCGUGACGCACUCAAUAUGGCGGACACGCGCGCACAAGCGGGCUUCCUAUUGGCUGCCGGGACGCACAGCUCUGGCCGUCGCGGGCGCCACAGUCAAGAUGGCGGCCGCGCGGAAGAUGCCUGCCUGUGAGCUGCCGUGACACGCGGAGCCCUAACCAGGCUCCCUCUUUUGGUGCUGAUGAUGACAGAGUCUGCAUGGACUUGAAUAGAAUUCAGAAGGGUGCUGUGGCUGUUUGUGCCAUCGAUGCAUCUGGCUGCUUCACAGCAGAGGUGGCUGACUUGGCUGGACAGUAUGUGAAGGAUGCAGAUAAGAACAUCACUAAAGUACUGAAAGAGAAAGGCAGACUGGUUCACAGCAGUAGUUUUAAGCACAGCUCUCCUUUCUGCUGGAGUAUGUGACCUUGCCUGAGUUGCCUGCUGUUGUGGUCUUCAAAGAUGGAGCUUCCUUUGUUUCUGAUGCACUGCAGCCUGGCCUGGGGGCGCUGCUGAGGCCCUCACCGAAUCGCCACCGCUCGCCGCAGCCUGUCAGUGGCCAUCUGCAAGCUGGCACUGCCCUCACCGAGUGGGCACUGAUCUCACCAAGAUAGCAUUGAACGCGACGGGUUGGAGGGGACCUUACCAAUAUGGCGCCGAGCGCUAAGCUCUGCAAGAGACCUCACUAAUAUGGCGACAAGCGCGAUAGGCUGAAUGUGACCUUACCAAGAUGGCGCCGAGCGCGACGGUCUCGCUGUGACCUCAUCAAUGCGGCGCCGAAACACCGCAAGCCGGUGGUGACCUUAACAAUAUGGCGCCGCGGGCUGCCGCUGCAGGCAGCAAUCUGACACUGGCCGCGGCCGGCUGGCAAUGCCCUCACCGAGUUGGCACUGCACACGGCAGGCUGACAAUGCCCUCACUGAGUCGCCACCACUCGCCGCAGAGUUGCAGUGACCCUCUGCAAGCUGUCACUACUCUCACCGAGUUGUAGUGACCUCACCAAGAUGGCGCCAAGAGCGACGGACUUGCUGUGACUUCAUCAAUACGGCGCCGAGCGCCACGAGUUGGCUCUGGCCUCAUCCAUACGGCGCCGAAACUCCGCAAGCCGGCGGUGACCUCACCAAUACGGCGCUCAACGCCGCGGUCCUGGCGCUGCCCGCAGCAAGCUGGCAAUGCCCUGACCGAGUCGCCACGGCUCACCGCAGGCUGGCAGUGACCCUCUGCAAGCUGGCACCGCCCCCCGUGAGCUGGCGCUGCCCGCUCCUAGGCUGGCAGUGCCCUCACCACGACGGCGCCGCCGGCAGCGCAGGCUCGGCGGUGACCUCACCAAGAUGGCGCCGACGUCCCGCCUGCGACGCUGACCGCACCAAGGUGGCUCCGGGGGCGGUUCCCGCCAACCCCUCCCCUCUCGCAUGCGCAGAGCGCUCAGGCCUGGCCGCAGGGAGGGGCGCAGGGGACAGAGCCACUCUGAAGGCUGCCCGGGGGGCGUCUGGGCCCCGGAGGUGGGAGCUGAACUGCUUUGCCCCAGCCCAGCUGCAGAUCUGCACUCAGCCUCAGCCCCAAGCCCUGGCAGGGUGGGAUGCUUUGGUACCAGGCCGUGGAGCUGUUUGAAAUGCAAUUGCUGCUUGCAGCUGGUUCAGAAAUGGAUUUCCUGUGGCUGUGGGGGCAGAAAUGUCUCUGUGUCACGCUGAGAACUCUGGGAAGAAGAAAACAUUCUCCAUUUUGUUUCUCACUCUUGCUUUUGCCUUAGACCUGGUCACAUCUCAUUAACCCUGCUCCUACUAACCUUGCUCCCUAACCUCUUGGCUGCACCUCUUUUCUUCCUGAGAACUGG